ensembl:snoRNA Gm24467 predicted gene, 24467
CCUGCCCCUAGAAGGCAAGUGUGCCUUCUGUGUCACAUGUAUUUCACUAUGCAGCAGAGAGGAUAGAGGCUAUGUUUUUGCUGUGUUUGGACAUAUGAACAUCUGAAUGAUUUGUAUCCUAACAUU